rnacentral:rRNA from 1 species
UCAGAUUGAACGCUGGCGGAAUGCUUUACACAUGCAAGUCGAACGGCAGCACGGACUUCGGUCUGGUGGCGAGUGGCGAACGGGUGAGUAACAUAUCGGAACGUAUCCAAUAAUGGGGGAUAACUAAUCGAAAGGUUGGCUAAUACCGCAUACGCCCUACGGGGGAAAGCAGGGGAUCUUCGGACCUUGCGUUAAUGGAGCGGCUGAUAUCUGAUUAGCUAGUUGGUGAGGUAAAGGCUCACCAAGGCGACGAUCAGUAGCUGGUCUGAGAGGACGACCAGCCACACUGGAACUGAGACACGGUCCAGACUCCUACGGGAGGCAGCAGUGGGGAAUUUUGGACAAUGGGCGCAAGCCUGAUCCAGCCAUUCCGCGUGAGUGAAGAAGGCCUUCGGGUUGUAAAGCUCUUUCGCAAGGGAAGAAAACUUACUUUCUAAUAAAGAGUGAGGUUGACGGUACCUUGAUAAGAAGCACCGGCUAACUACGUGCCAGCAGCCGCGGUAAUACGUAGGGUGCGAGCGUUAAUCGGAAUUACUGGGCGUAAAGCGUGCGCAGGCGGUUUUGUAAGUCAGAUGUGAAAUCCCCGAGCUCAACUUGGGAACUGCGUUUGAAACUACAAGACUAGAAUAUGUCAGAGGGGGGUAGAAUUCCACGUGUAGCAGUGAAAUGCGUAGAGAUGUGGAGGAAUACCAAUGGCGAAGGCAGCCCCCUGGGAUAAUAUUGACGCUCAUGCACGAAAGCGUGGGGAGCAAACAGGAUUAGAUACCCUGGUAGUCCACGCCCUAAACGAUGUCUACUAGUUGUUGGUGGAGUAAAAUCCAUGAGUAACGCAGCUAACGCGUGAAGUAGACCGCCUGGGGAGUACGGUCGCAAGAUUAAACUCAAAUGAAUUGACGGGGGCCCGCACAGCGGUGGAUUAUGUGGA